GCCAAACACGACCUACAAGUUUACAACCCUAAUAUUGAGAAGAAUUGUUUCCUCUCAAUCAUUAUUGACACCUGAACUGGAAAUUGAGAAACAAAAGAAAGCAGCGCAGCUGCUGCUGAAAUUGAGAGAUAUUGGAAGGGACAUAAGAGCAAAGAUGAUGUUCAUAGCUCGUAAAGAGUAAGAAUUAGCAAGACCUGUUGCUGGAAUAAGAAAUGAUGAAGAAGGGGCAUUUGAGUUAGGGUUUGCUGAAAAUGGAGAAAUUGAAGCUCUGUAAUGAAUUACUGAGUUGGGAUUGAGCUCGAUUUGAAACCAGAAGAAGGUAUUGAUGUUCCUGCUCCAAUUCGACAGAAAGGGAGGAGAUUAGACGCGGGUUUGGUUUAACAUCGAAAAUAGGAUUUGUUUGGUGGUUGUUCUUGAAGGGAUUGAGAGCAUCAAUCAGUGAUGUCAUGGUCGUAAUUGAUUAGGGUUUCAGUUAGUUUCUUAUUAAGAGAGUGAUGGCAAGAAUUCAGGGUUUGAUUUCAUGUAAUUUGAAGACAAGAAGAAUCAGAGAUGUUGUUGUUGAGGAGAGUUGAUGAGCCAUAGACAAACUCCGCUUGUAAUACACACAAGGUGUUUGAGUGAAUGCCUGAGUUACCAGGGAAGUUGAAGUUGUUGCAGCUGAUUCUGCCAGUCAUGGUUCAAAGGCCAAGUAGAAGGGGUGUGUGUUCGACAAAGCCAAGACUUGUGUGUUGUAAGUUGGUGGUGAUGCUGUCAGGUUGAGUUGGAGUUAGAUGGAAGAGUAUGUAAUGAGUUGAGCUUGAGACAUCGUGUUUGAUAUUGAAGAUGGCAUGGAGGUGAUGCUCAGAUUACAAGAAUUAUGGUGGCUUAAGGCUGGGAAAUGAUUGCAGUUCAGAUGGAACUGAGUAGAAUGUUGCAGUGGUGAUUGCAGGUGGAUGGAUGUUGAGCAUAUGGUUGUGACAAUUGGUGGAUCUAGACAGCUAAAAUGAGUUCUGAGAUAGAAGCUUGAGCUGAUGAGAUGGAGGAAUUGAAUUGCAAAGGUGUUAUGGACUGAUGCACUACAAUGAGAAUGAAGUGUAUUAGAUGUAAGCUAGGACAUUACAAUGGAAGCUGGAUGAAUUGAGUCUGUGCAUUACAGGGAGUAGACCGUUGUGUUACUAGGCUGAGUUCUGGUAGCAAUGGGAAUGUAAUGUUGGCUCAACUAUAUUGUUGUUGGCCUAACUGAAUAACUGGGAAUUAUGAAUUGGUGUUGAGUGAUUGUUGUUGCAGAUGCAAAUUGGUAAAUGGCAGUUCUGGUUUCAAGGCCGUGAGAAUGGGUUUACUGGAGAUUAUGUUGCUGAGAAGUUGUAAUAGAAGGUUUGGCAAGAACUGAAGUCCUCUUGGAGUGCUGCAUUAGAUGAAUGAUUAGGAAUGAAGCAGGUGUAGGAAGCUGAGACAAAGAAUGAUGCAGAGGCUGGUCUGAGAUGGCAGUUGACCUGCAAAUGGUGACUGCAAUUGACGUUGGUGGUUGAGAUGAUAAUUGCAGCUGCAUUUCGAGACUCGCAUGUGGUGCAGUGAAGGAAUGGAGACUGGUGGAGCUGUUGCCGUGGAGUUGAGCUGGCUACUUUCUUAGUGGUGUGACUAAAUUGGUGGUGUCCGUGAAUUGCAGUUGAGAUUAAGAAGCUGCUACGACUGGUUUGUGAAUGGUGUUGAUACAGAGAAUGGCUGAUGCAGUGGUGAAUGGGAGCAUAUGAAGCAAAUGUAUAGAUGUAUGCUAGGAUUGCAGGGGAGGACCUAAUGAGAAAUGGGAAAUGGAGCAAAAACAGACAUAACUCGACUGGAAUUCUGUUUCAGCGAGUAUACUCACCGAUCCAGGCAUGACUCAGAUGUACUUGGACCUGGGCUUCACACAUGGGCUGGUUCAGUAACUGACUUUUGGAUGCGACCUAAAGUAUGAGAUGGAAGGUGAAGCCAGUAUAUAUAAAAAGAGGAGUUCCAUUCUAAUUGAAUAUCUAAUCUUGACUUCUAUUUUUGUUCUAGUGUUUAGAAAACAUGAAAACCUUUCUUUUUCUUCUUGUUAUGAACUCCAUGAACAUGAGCUAGAGUAUUAUUAUUGGUUAUGGAAUAAUUGGAUUUCACGUAA